CAGAAAUGGAGCAGGAAAGAUCCUUUCCAUCUGUCGUUCUUCUACAGACAUCAGCAGCUCAGAAGUGGAUGGAGCUGAGAGUUAUUUGCUGAGCUUCAGAGCAGAGUUGAUGCAUACACGGGGGACACUUACCCACUUCACUGGGAAAUGUGAGCCCCCAGCAUGGUGCUCUGGAGCUGUGCAGACAUGUUUCGUCUUACGGAGCUGAGUAUCUGCUUUUCAGCAGCUGAGCCCUGGGGACACGGUGCUAGGCAGAGCAGUGAGGAAUGAGGCUUCCUUUCAGAGAGGUUAGCUCAUCUCUUAGCGUCCGUGGAAAAGAGCUUACCUCACAUUCUCACCUGGACUGUUGCCCUUAAUCUAUGGCACUCGCUAAAGAGGAAAAUAGAAUCGAGCAUGUUCAAGCGAAUGUUUUCCAUGUUUUGAUCUUGUUUCUUGAGCUCAGCUCGGAGCAGUGUGGGAAGUGCCUUUUGGGCAGCGUGUGCAAUUACUCCCAGGCCUUCCAGAAAGCAGAGGUUAGCUGUGCAAUGGACUCCGAAUGUGCAGAGAGUCUGCAAUCAGAAGUCAAAAAUAAAAUGACUAUAAUUAGUAAUGACCAAAGCAACUGGAAAUGGUGUCAGUCAGAGCCGAGCCAGCUUUCUUUUUAUCUGUCACCUAAUGAAUGAGGGCUGAGGUUAUUCUCCAAGGAUGAGAGGGCUGAAUUUUUUUCCCAUUCAAAUCUGGUGCUGUGGGACAAAUGCAAACUCAGGGCUCAUUUACUACCUUGUUUUUCAGCUAUGGAACCUGCAGGCAGGUUGUGAGCAAUUACGCUUUUCCCCAAAGCAUCUAAAAUAACACGGCUCUGCUCGCUGUCCUGGAGAGCGCCGCUGACGCCAUCCUGUCACCUUGGAGAUGGAUAAACAGCUCCAGCAACACUGGGUUAUAAUCUUUCAGGUCUGAGCUUCUAAGCUGACAGCCGUACAAUUGAGACAUGAGUCUAGCAAAGAUUUUUGAUCGUGGAAAGAGUCUAAAUGUAAGAUGAGAGGAGAAGAGAGGAGAGGAGGGGGAGAAAGAGCUUAAGCCAGGCUCAGUGACCAGGCUUUUUGCUUGGCUGCAACAGCAGUGAAUGAAAUGAUUUAGCUGUGGCUCACACUCCUUGCAGCAUGGGGUGACUCAGGUAGUGCGCAGGCAUACUUGGGCCUGCAGGGCUUUAUUUUUAGAUGUCUGAAUCACUGUCAUGCCUAUAGCCUCAUAGAGCCGUUAGACGAGUGGGGAUGCCCACAG
ensembl:lncRNA